rnacentral:rRNA from 1 species
AACAAUGGUUACCGCACCGGUAAAGGAACUGAAGAGGGUGUCCUAGCCAAUUGCAUUGAAAAGCCAUACACCUACCGGGUGGCAGGCAGUAGGAAUAUGGCAAUGGGCGAAGCUGACCAGCAACGCCGCGUGCACGAUGAAGGCCUUUCGGUCGUAAAGUGCUUUUCUGAGGAAUGAGUAAAGGACAGUACCUCAGGAAUAAGCCUCGGGCUAACUACGUGCCAGCAGCCGCGGUAAAACGUAGGAGGCAAGCGUUAUCCGGGAUUUACUGGGCGUAAAGCGUGUGUAGGCGGUUCGGCAAGUUGGAUGUGAAAGCUCCUGGCUUAACUAGGAGAGGUCGUUCAAUACUACCGAACUUGAGGGCAUCAGAGGAAGGUGGAAUUCCCGGUGUAGUGGUGAAAUGCGUAGAUAUCGGGAGGAACACCAGUGGCGAAGGCGGCCUUCUGGGAUGUUCCUGACGCUCAGACACGAAAGCUAGGGUAGCGAACGGGAUUAGAGACCCCGGUAGUCCUAGCAGUAAACGAUGUAGACUUGGUGUCGGAGGUGUCAAAACCUUCGGUAUCGUAGCUAACGCGAUAAGUCUACCGCCUGGGGACUACGGCCGCAAGGUUAAAACUCAAAGGAAUUGACGGGGGCCCGCACAAGCAGCGGAGCGUGUGGUUUAAUUCGAUGUUACACGAAGAACCUUACCCAGGUUUGACAUGUUGGUGGUAGGAAUCCGAAAGGUGACCGACCCGCAAGGGAGCCUUCACAGGUGCUGCAUGGCUGUCGUCAGCUCGUGUCGUGAGAUGUUCGGUUAAGUCCGCUAACGAGCGCAACCCUCGCCGUAUGUUACAUGUGUCAUGCGGGACCGCCGGUAUCAAGCCGGAGGAAGGUGGGGAUGACGUCAAGUCAGCAUGGCCUUUAUAUCUGGGGCUACACACACGCUACAAUGGCCGGUACAAUGGGUCGCUAAGCCGCGAGGUAGAGCCAAUCCCGCAAAGCCGGUCUCAGUUCAGAUCACAGGCUGCAACCCGCCUGUGUGAAGUUGGAGUUGCUAGUAAACGCGCGUCAGCUAUAGUGCGUUGAAUACGUUCUCGGGCCUUGUACACACCGCCCGUCACGUCAUGGGAGCUGGUAACACCUGAAGCCGGUAGCCUAACCGCAAGGAGGGCGCUGUCGAAGGUGGUGCUGGUGACUGGGACGAAGUCGUAACAAGGUAGCCGU